rnacentral:rRNA from 1 species
UUGCUCCUACGGGGGCAGCAGUGAGGAAUAUUGGUCAAUGGGCGGGAGCCUGAACCAGCCAAGUCGCGUGAGGGAAGACGGUCCUAUGGAUUGUAAACCUCUUUAGGCGGGGAGCAAUGCCGGGCACGUGUGCCCGGAGGGAGAGUACCCGCAGAAUAAGCAUCGGCCAACUCCGUGCCAGCAGCCGCGGGAAUACGGAGGAUGCGAGCGUUAUCCGGAUUUAUUGGGUUUAAAGGGUGCGUAGGCGGGUUUUUAAGUCAGCGGGAAGAUGUCCGGGCUCAACCCGGGCCGGCCG